rnacentral:piRNA from 1 species
UAAUUGUCAGGUAAAGCCUCUUCAUCAAAUG